rnacentral:rRNA from 1 species
UACGUAGGUGGCAAGCGUUGUCCGGAUUUACUGGGCGUAAAGAGCGCGCAGGCGGUCGUUCAAGUCGCGUGUGAAAGCCCCCGGCUCAACUGGGGAGGGUCACGCGAUACUGAUCGACUCGAAGGCAGGAGAGGGUAGUGGAAUUCCCGGUGUAGUGGUGAAAUGCGUAGAUAUUGGGAAGAACACCGGUGGCGAAGGCGGCUCACUGGCCAGUUUCUGACGCUGUAGCGCGAAAGCGUGGGGAUCAAACAGG